UGCGUAGGCGGACACGUCAGUGCUUUGUGAAAUCCCACGGCUCAACCGUGGAAGUGCUUGGCAUACUGCGUGUCUUGAGGUCGGUAGAGGUUGCCGGAACUGUAGGUGUAGCGGUGAAAUGCGUAGAUAUCUACAGGAACACCCAUAGCGAAGGCAGGCAACUGGGCCGAUUCUGACGCUGAGGCACGAAAGCGUGGGGAGCAAACA
rnacentral:rRNA from 1 species